rfam:Fukomys damarensis contig94401, whole genome shotgun sequence.
GGAUGUGAGGGCGAUCUGGCUGAUCUGGCUGGCUAGGUGGGAGUCUCCUUCCUCCCUCACCACUCCAUGUGCGUCCCUCCUAAAGCUGCGCGCUCUGUUGAACAGGAUGAACACCCAUCCACAUACAGGAGGACUGCUUCCUGGGUCAAGGGUAUAUGAGUAGGUACGCGCCCCUGCCAGAACCUUCAAACAAGCUCUCAAGACUUCUGAAUUCUAGUGCAGCCUCUCCUAAUCAGUUUUCUCAUAUGUAACACACAGUAACAACUUC